UUGCCAAGCUUAGCAACCAGGGAUAGAUUCGAAGCCGGGGAGUGGUGGAGAGUGCCCCAAAGUCUAUGGCUGACUGCAAAGGGACACUCUGCAAGCUGUCCUGUGAGUUACGAAGGGGAGCAGUGCCUGAUGUUCAGGCUGUCCCCAAGUCUGGCCUCCUUUCCUCUGAAAGCCCAAAGGAGCCCCUCACCACCAGCUCAGGCACUACCGCCCUGACACUAAGGAGACUGAGGAAGACUCUUGAUACCUUCAGCUGCUCUGUCACCAGGCAGACACCUUCUCCAUACGAACAUAAACAUCACACACACACAGGUACACAAACUCACAUACACAAACUCACACACAGCAAUCCCCAGAAACACUCCACUGUCCUCUUCCUGCCUUUCUCAGCAAGAGGGCUAAGGAAACCUCAAACAACCUGCGCAUAACCUCAGACCAUGCCCCCAUGCACCCCAUCCCUGAGCAAGGAGACACAUCCGCUGUCUGCCCCCGGAAGCACAUUAAUCAGGAGACGGACUUCCCUGAAAAGCGUCGGUGAGUGCUUGCCUGCUGCCAGG
rnacentral:lncRNA from 1 species